rnacentral:rRNA from 1 species
CCUACGGGAGGCAGCAGUGAGGAAUAUUGCACAAUGGGCGCAAGCCUGAAGCAGCGACGCCGCGUGGAGGAAGAAUGGCCUACGGGUUGUAAACUUCUUUUAUAUGGGAGUAAAGUGCAGUAUGUAUACUGCUAUCCAUGUACCUUAUGAAUAAGGAUCGGCCAACUCCGUGCAAGCAGCCGCGGUAAUACGGAGGAUCCGAGCGUUAUCCGGAAUUAUUGGGUGUAAAGGGAGCGUAGGCGGGGUGGUAAGUCAGUUGUGAAAGUUUGGGGCUCAACCGUAAGAUUGCAGUUGAUACUGGCAGCCUUGAGUACAGUAGAGGUAGGCGGAAUUCGUGGUGUAGCGGUGAAAUGCGUAGAUAUCACGAGGAACUCCGAUGGCGAAGGCAGCCUGCUGGACUGUAACUGACGCUGAUGCUCGAAAGUGUGGGGAUCAAACAGGAUUAGAUACCCCAGUAGUC